rnacentral:ncRNA from 1 species
UUCAUAAUUGAACAAACAGGUGCCCUUGCGAGAGCAAGGGGUAACAGGGAAUCGGGUGUAAAUCCCGAGCGGUCGCGCCACUGUAACUGGGAAGUUCUUGCUCAACAAUGCCACUCUGAUCGGAAGUGAUGGUGAAGGCGAGGAAGAAUGAAGAUCCAGAAGUCAGGAGACCUACCUAUUUGUUGUACCCGAA